rnacentral:rRNA from 1 species
GCACGGGUUGAAAAGCCUUAGGCCUCGAUCUAACGGAAAACGCUAACUCUAGGUACGGGUCGCAAAGCCUUGUGCCUUGAAGCAGCGGGACAAGUUAGUGGAUGAACUGGUCGAGGUCGUGGAGUAAAUUUUGUGACUUUGACUGGAUCGUCCCUAACCCGUCACGUAGCGCUUCCGAACCAUGGUGUUCGGUUGGACGGUCAGUCAUGUUCUUGUUUGAUUGUUGGCUGGCCGGUUGGCCUUUCAUCUCCAACCCUUGGUGUGGGUCGUCCGUCGGUCAUGUUCUUGUUUGAUUGUUGGCUGGCCGGUUGGCCUUUCAUCUCCAACCCUUGGUGUGGGUCGUCCGUCGGUCAUGUUCUUGUUUGAUUGUUGGCCGGUGGGUCGACCUAUGCUCAGGACAGUUCGGGGGUGUUACAGUCGGGGGCAUUUGUAUUUCAUAGUUAGAGGUGAAAUUUUUGGAUUUAUGAAAAACGAACAACUGGGAAAGCAUUUGCCAAGGAUGUUUUCAUUAAUCAAGAACGAAAGUUGGGGGCUCGAAGACGAUCAGAUGCCGUCCUAGUCUCAACCAUAAACGAUGUCGACCAGGGAUCAGCGGAUGUUGCUUUUAGGACUCCGCUGGCACCCUAUGAGAAAUCAAAAUUUUUGGGUUCCGGGGGGAGUAUGGUCGCAAGGCUGAAACUUAAAGGAAUUGACGGAAGGGCACCACCAGGAGUGGAGCCUGCGGCUUAAUUUGACUUAACACGGGGAAACUUACCAGGUCCAGACAUAGUAAGGAUUAACAGACUGAGAGCUCUUUCUUGAUUCUAUGGGUGGUGGUGCAUGGCCGUUUUUAGUUGGUGGAGCAAUUUGUCUGGUUAAUUCCGUUAACGAACGAGACCUCAGCCUGGUAACUCGCUACGUGGAGGCAUCCCUUCACGGCCGGCUUCUUAGAGGGACUAUGGCCAUUUAGGCCAAGGAAGUUUGAGGCAAUAACAAGUCUGUGAUGCCCUUAGAUGUUCUAGGCCGCACGCGCGCUACACUGAUGUAUUCAACGAGUUCACACCUUCGCCGACAUGCCCGGGUAAUCUUUGAAAUUUCAUCGUGUUGGGGAUAGAUCAUUGCAAUUGUUGGUCUUUAACGAGGAAUUCCAAGUAAGCGCGAGUCAUCAGCUCGCGUUGACUACGUCCCUGCCCUUUGUACACACCGCCUGUCGCUCUUACAGAUUGAAUGAUCCGGUGAAGCGUUCGGAUCGCGGCGACAUGGAUAGUUCGCCGUCUGCGACGUCGCGAGAAGUCCACUAUACCUUAUCAUUUAGAGGAAGGAGAAGUCGUAACAAGGUUUCCGUAGGUGAACCUGCGGAAG